rnacentral:rRNA from 1 species
CAGUCGCCGCGGGAAUACGUAGGGUGCAAGCGUUAAUCGGAAUUACUGGGCGUAAAGCGUGCGCAGGCGGUUCGUUAAGACAGAUGUGAAAUCCCCGGGCUUAACCUGGGAACUGCAUUUGUGACUGGCGGGCUAGAGUAUGGCAGAGGGGGGUAGAAUUCCACGUGUAGCAGUGAAAUGCGUAGAGAUGUGGAGGAAUACCGAUGGCGAAGGCAGCCCCCUGGGCCAAUACUGACGCUCAUGCACGAAAGCGUGGGGAGCAAACAGGAUUAGAUACCCCCGUAGUCCCUGUCUCUUAUAC